rnacentral:lncRNA from 1 species
AUGUGGCAGGAAUUUUCAAGGGCCAAGCUUCCAGUGGGCUUAUAUCAUUGCCCAGAUUUCACUAGCCAGAGGCUGGUAAGUCAAGGCUAUAGCCUGAUUAAUGCAAGAGAGGCUGGGAAAUAUGAAACAGCACACAGGUUGUUGGGAGAGCUUCUGUCCCACGGCUUCCCUGCAGCCAGUCAGAUGACACCCAGAGAUGUCACCACUGGCAACACCCCACUGUUACCUAGGACUCCACCAUCCCAUCCCACUCCUAUUAUGCUUGAUGAGGAGAAUAAAAGUGAAGGUGCUGCUAAAACCCUUGAUGGAAGCAGGUAUUUGCUAAGCGUUGCUCACCAUGGGCUCUGUGCUCUGACUUUGGUGCUGGAGGGGCGAAGGGGCAGAAGACAGUGGGAGGUGAAGAAUGCAGAGGCAGCUGGACCAUCGCUGAGCUGUGUUCCCAGAUUCCAUGCGGCUUCGCUGGCUUUCAGAGGCUGUGUGACCUCACUGGAUUCCAGGCUCUAUAUUUGUUCACCAUCAGUGUCUAUUACUGUGUGUACCCUUGGACAUGUGAUGCCCUGUCUCGUGCCUCAGUUUCCACAGCGUUGACAGAUCCAGAUGAUAAUGCUGUCUACAAAGAGCAUGAGAUGAGGAUCCGACCUGUGGAAAGCGCUAAAUUAAUAUUCUCUGGUAGUACAUCCACUCCUCCAUCGCCUGAUGUGACAUAUCCCCACAGUCUUGGAGAGAGUCGCUCUUGGCAUGGGGCUAUCUCAGAGUGACACGGAUCCCCUGCCCACUCCAUGCAGAGGAACCAACAGAAGCAGGCUCUAGCCAACUCCUAAGAGCUCAAGUGUCCACCUGACCCUCACAAGCAGCAGGGACUUGUCACCUCCUCUCCAGUGACUUUUUCUUUCUGCCUGCAGGGCACAAGUCUGCAGCCCAACUCAAUACCGCAAAGGGGACAGUUCACUGGGCCCAACAGCCCAGGAGACUUGGGCAUUGUCUUGGUUUCUUGGCCCUGCCACAAUCAACAGCCACAAACUGGGGGCUUUGCNNNNNNNNNNNNNNNNNNNNNNNNNNNNNNNNNNNNNNCAGUGACUUCCAGUUCUGGACGUAGAACCCCCUGCUCUAGGCCUCUCACCCAGCUUCCAGAGUUUUUGGCUUUGAGCUGUGAAACUUCAAUCUUCACAUGUCCUCUACCUGAAUUCGUGUCUCCCUGACCCAGAUGUCCCCCGCAUAAGGACACUGAUGCUACUGGAUUAAGACCCACUCUAAUGACCUCCUUUGAAUUUGCUUCCCUCCAGAAUACCACAUUCUGAAAUACUGGGGAUAAGAACACCAACAUCGUGUUUUCAGGGACAUAACUCAAUCUGUAACAGGCACAUUGUCUUUAGACCCUCAUUCAGCAGGNNNNNNNNNNNNNNNNNNNNNNNNNNNNNNNNNNNNAGCAGGAGAGGCUCUGAGAAGGAUGGACACUCUCCCAUUUUAUAGCAAAGACGCCGAAUCCAAAGAAGAGCAGGGAAGAGGAAGAAAGCAGAAAUCUCAGGUCUCUGGACUGGAUUUUCUGGACAGGGAGACGCCUCGAUGGCUUCUCCACACCUGCCCCGAUCCCCGGGAGACUGGGCUGAAUUCAGACUUCCCCACUCCACUGCACUCCUCGUGAACCUGGUGCUCAGAAGAUGGGAUUUAAAUGCUUGUUGCUCCAGGGCACGAGGUAACUUUGUGCUCACUUAAGCCUGAGAACAUUUCUCCCAGUGCAUGCUGGAUCAAUACUUAGGAUCUAUAGGGCCAGCCGCAGCACAGGUUCGAAAUCAAGAUAGAACUGGAAUGACCAGAGGCAGCUGAGAUUCCCUGGCAUCAGGCAUCACAAUGGCUCUCAGCACCUGCUUACAUGAGAAGCCUCGUUCAGCCCUGUAGUAGAGGUCCUGCGAUUCUCCACAGCCACAUUUUCCUGAUGGUUUGAGAAGCACAACUGUGGCCAUGGCUGUGAGUGCAGGUUUGAAAUGAAGUCGAAAGAGUGGGAUCCUUUUAGGCCUGGACCCUCUUGCACAGCUUUGGGAGCCUCCAGAGCAAGAGAGGUUGUAGAAGUGUAUCACAGGAGAUUCUUUCUCCAGUCCUAGGCUUUUACUCUGUAAAUUGCUCUCUGUGUUCAUAAUAGCACCUAUAAAAUAGGUGUAAAAUGAUUUAUUGCAUCUGGGGAAUCCGAAUGAACCAUCCUUCAAAAGGCAGGUACAGCCCUCACUCAUGCUCAGUGCUGUCUGUGGAGGGAAGCAGGGGAAUGGCUGUUUGGGAACAGAUAAAAUGGGACAAGGAUAGCCUAACUUGAGUCCCCAGGAUCUUGGGAGUUUUAUGGACUCCUCUGUCUGGCGCUC